CUCUGUUUCGAAAGACUCAGGGCGAAAAGGAG
rnacentral:ncRNA from 1 species